UUGAAAAUUAAAUCCCAACAGACGGCCCUGUGAUAAUAUUAACAAAUUUGACGAAUAAAAAAAACGAUAAGAGAUACUUGAUCCGUUAUCCAGUUAUAUAUUUUCCCCAUUCAUUGUCCUCCGCGUAUACAUUCUGUGACCGCCAGCCAUUAACAGGCAGUGAUUAAAUCAACCCCCCUUAUCGUCAAUUACUCCCCCGAAGAUGAAAUUUCAACUAAGCUGAAAAAUACACCACGCAUUUGCAGCUUUGUUCGAAAUUUCCAAAUCCCCUUUCCGGUACUCAGAUCUGUGGAUAAUUUAUUCUUCUGCUUGAUUUUCGGUCGUUUGGUUUAGGAAUCUAAACUUUAGAGGAGAGUAGAUCUAGAAAAGAAGAUUCGAACUCCCCCCUUACGGUCAUCGGCGAUUGGGUUUUAACUGAGAAAAUACAACAUGCAAGCAACGAGUUAACCGAAGAAAAGGUAAAAAAUCUAUACCAUUUUUUAUUUCUUUGUUUUCGAACACUUUACAAGCCUUGUUCUUCGUAUUUUUUCGUACUUUCUUGUGUAUUUCGUAUGAAAUUUCUCUCGAUAUUUCCUCUCCCUUGUGUGUGUUAGUGUUGAUUUAUUUAUAGUACAAAAAAAUCCUAUUUUUAGGCUCCUAUUUGCACUAAAACUCUUAUUCUUGUGUGUUUGCUUUGCUUGCUCCCCCUUGAAUCGAAUGAUUCAGGGAUGGUGGUGUUGACGUUGUGAAAAUUGAUGGCGUGGGUGAGAAAGAAUCUUCGGCGGCGCUAUGGAGACUUGGCUAGCAAUUGAAAUGAUAGGGUGGGUUAGGGUUUUAAAACCCUAACUUAUUCAGAUCCGGGCCGAUUCGGGGCUCCUAUGGGUCGCGUGUUACUGGGGCCGUGUGGGUUUACUGUGGGGUCUGGUUCGGGCCACUGUUAGGCUUGUUGUGUUGCAAAAUGUUAUUGGGCCUGUAAAAAAAUGACAUGUAUUAUUAUUUUUCAAAUAUAUAUAUAAUAUAUGUUAGGACAAAAAUUAGUGUCCACAAUUUCCG